rnacentral:rRNA from 1 species
CCUACGGGGGGCAGCAGUGAGGAAUUUUGCGCAAUGGGGGAAACCCUGACGCAGCAACGCCGCGUGAGUGAUGAAGGCUUUCGGGUCGUAAAGCUCUGUCAAGUGGGAAGAAACCACAUGAUGCUAAUAUCAUCUUGUGCUGACGGUACCACUGAAGGAAGCACCGGCUAACUCCGUGCCAGCAGCCGCGGUAAUACGGGGGGUGCAAGCGUUAUUCGGAAUUACUGGGCGUAAAGAGCGCGUAGGCGGUCUUUUAAGUCAGGUGUGAAAGCCCGGGGCUCAACCCCGGAAGUGCACUUGAAACUAAGAGACUUGAGUAUGGGAGAGGGAAGUGGAAUUCCUGGUGUAGCGAUGAAAUGCGUAGAUAUCAGGAGGAACACCGGUGGCGAAGGCGACUUCCUGGACCAAUACUGACGCUGAGGCGCGAAGGCGUGGGGAGCAAACAGGAUUAGAUACCCUUGUAGUC